GUUCGGAAUCACUGGGCGUAAAGCGUGUGUAGGCUGCGCGGAAAGUCAAAUGUGAAAGCCCGGGGCUCAACCUCGGAACUGCAUUCGAUACUCCCGUGCUAGAGUAAUGGAGAGGUAAGUGGAAUUCCUGGUGUAGCAGUGAAAUGCGUGGAUAUCAGGAGGAACAUCAAUGGCGAAGGCAACUUACUGGACAUUUACUGACGCUCAGACACGAAGGCUAGGGUAGCGAAAGGGAUUAGAUACCCCUGUAGUCCUAGCAGUAAACGGUGCUCGCUUGGUGUGGGAGGAUUCGACCCCUUCUGUGCCGGAGCUAACGCGUUAAGCGAGCCGCCUGGGAAGUACGGUCGCAAGACUAAAACUCAAAGAAAUUGACGGGGACCCGCACAAGCGGUGGAGUAUGUGGCUUAAUUCGAUGCAACGCGAAGAACCUUACCUAGGCUUGACAUGCUUGUCGUACUCUCCCGAAAAGGAGAGGUCACUUCGGGUGGACAAUGCACAGGUGCUGCAUGGCCGUCGUCAGCUCGUGUCGUGAGAUGUUUGGUUAAGUCCAGCAACGAGCGCAACCCCUGUGAAUAGUUGCCAGCACGUAAAGGCGGGGACUCUGUUCAGACUGCCCAGAUCAACUGGGAGGAAGGUGGGGACGACGUCAGGUCAGUAUGGCCCUUACGCCUAGGG
rnacentral:rRNA from 1 species